rnacentral:rRNA from 1 species
GCUUAGAGAGGGGUCAAUGUCCUAUCAGCUAGUUGGUAAGGUAAUGGCUUACCAAGGCUAAGACGGGUAGCCGGCCUGAGAGGGUGGUCGGCCACACUGGGACUGAGACACUGCCCAGACUCCUACGGGAGGCUGCAGUCGAGAAUCUUUCGCAAUGCCCGAAAGGGUGACGAAGCGACGCCGCGUGUGGGAAGAAGGCCUUCGGGUUGUAAACCACUGUCGGGAGUUAAGAAAUGUAAGGGUGUUAAUAGCAUCCUUACUUGACUAAGGCUCCGGAGGAGGCCACGGCUAACUCUGUGCCAGCAGCCGCGGUAAUACAGAGGCGGCAAGCGUUGUUCGGAAUUAUUGGGCGUAAAGAGCACGUAGGCGGCUUUGUAAGUCAGUUGUGAAAGCCUUCCGCUUAACGGAAGAACAGCAUCUGAUACUGCAAGGCUAGAGUGCGGAAGGG